UACGAAGGUCCCAAGCGUUAUCCGGAUUUAUUGGGUUUAAAGGGUGCGUAGGCGGGUUGUUAAGUCAGUGGUGAAAGCUCUCAGCCUAACUGAGAAAAUUGCCAUUGAUACUGACGAUCUUGAGUACAUUUGAGGAGGGCGGAAUGUGUCAUGUAGCGGUGAAAAUGCUUAGAUAUGACACAGAACACCGAUUGCGUAGGCAGCUCUCUAAAACUGUAACUGA
rnacentral:rRNA from 1 species